GACCGCGUGUGAAAAUCGAUCUUUACAUGCGGGUUUCUUAGCGGACCGCUCGUGAAAAUCGAUUUUCACACGCGGUC
rnacentral:pre_miRNA from 1 species